UACGAGUGCCCCAAGCGUUAUCCGGAAUUAUUGGGCGUAAAGGGUGUGUAGGUGGCGAUGUUAGUCUUCUGUCAAAUUCUUCGGCUUAACCGGGGGUCUGCAGGGGAAACGGCAUUGCUCGAGUGUGCAAGGGGUGAAUGGAACUCAUGGAGUAGGGGUGAAAUCCGUUGAUCCAUUGAAGACCACCAGUGGCGAAGGCGGCUUGCCAGAACGCGCUCGACGGUGAGGGAUGAAAGCUGGGGGAGCAAACCGG
rnacentral:rRNA from 1 species